rnacentral:lncRNA from 1 species
UGAAGAACACAAGCAAGGACUCUGCUCUGCGGGUGACACUGCCUCUGCAGUUUGAUAACAGCUGUUCAGUGGCGGAGCAGGUGGUGCUUACAUCCAACCAGUCCAAGGCCAAGUCGAAGACUCACCACCACCAUCCCAUGCUCUUUCCAAAAGAACAAAACGAAACAAGACGACGACGACAGCAACAACAACAGGAAGACAUUUUCAUCCUUGGGCAUGGGAGAACACAAUACUCUUCUUUUUUUUGUUUAUUUUUUUCCCCAUUAAGUUUAUUGGUACAUUUUAGGUAUAAAAUACAGUUACAUUCAUCAUUAGGAUCUUGUACCAUUACAUGAGUAUCUUGGUUCUUUUUUUUUUUUCCCCUUCCCCUGCCCUCCCUUCACCCCCUCCACCCUUCCCUAUUUGCAAAGACUUUGUUUCCAUAUUUUUUCUUUUCUCAUAUUUUUUCUUUUCCCUUCUUUCCUUUCCCCUACCCCUCCCACUUCCUCUGUUCCUUUAGACCUUUACUUCCUAUUAUACAAUAUCAAUUAUACAUUUUAAAAAUUAAAAUAUCAAGUCAAAGGAG